AGGCAGCAGUGGGGAAUCUUCCGCAAUGGACGAAAGUCUGACGGAGCAACGCCGCGUGAACGAUGACGGCCUUCGGGUUGUAAAGUUCUGUUAUACGGGACGAAUGGUACGACGGCCAAUACCCGUCGUAAGUGACGGUACCGUAAGAGAAAGCCACGGCUAACUACGUGCCAGCAGCCGCGGUAAUACGUAGGUGGCAAGCGUUGUCCGGAAUUAUUGGGCGUAAAGGGCGCGCAGGCGGCGUCGUAAGUCGGUCUUAAAAGUGCGGGGCUUAACCCCGUGAGGGGACCGAAACUGCGAUGCUAGAGUAUCGGAGAGGAAAGCGGAAUUCCUAGUGUAGCGGUGAAAUGCGUAGAUAUUAGGAGGAACACCAGUGGCGAAAGCGGCUUUCUGGACGACAACUGACGCUGAGGCGCGAAAGCCAGGGGAGCAAACGGGAUUAGAUACCCCGGUAGUCCUGGCCGUAAACGAUGGAUACUAGGUGUAGGAGGUAUCGACCCCUUCUGUGCCGGAGUUAACGCAAUAAGUAUCCCGCCUGGGGAGUAC
rnacentral:rRNA from 1 species